GAUGAACGCUGGCGGCGUGCUUAACACAUGCAAGUCGAACGCUGAAGCCUGGUGCUUGCACUGGGUGGAUGAGUGGCGAACGGGUGAGUAACACGUGAGUAACCUGCCCUUGACUUCGGGAUAAGCCCGGGAAACUGGGUCUAAUACUGGAUAUGACCUCCUACUGCAUGGUGGGGGGUGGAAAGAUUUAUCGGUUGGGGAUGGACUCGCGGCCUAUCAGUUUGUUGGUGGGGUAAUGGCCUACCAAGACGACGACGGGUAGCCGGCCUGAGAGGGUGACCGGCCACACUGGGACUGAGACACGGCCCAGACUCCUACGGGAGGCAGCAGUGGGGAAUAUUGCACAAUGGGCGCAAGCCUGAUGCAGCGACGCCGCGUGAGGGAUGACGGCCUUCGGGUUGUAAACCUCUUUCAGUAGGGAAGCAGCCCCUCGGGGUGACGGUACCUGCAGAAGAAGCGCCGGCUAACUACGUGCCAGCAGCCGCGGUAAUACGUAGGGCGCAAGCGUUAUCCGGAAUUAUUGGGCGUAAAGAGCUCGUAGGCGGUUUGUCGCGCCUGCUGUGAAAGCCCGGGGCUUAACUCCGGGUGUGCAGUGGGUACGGGCAGGCUAGAGUGCAGUAGGGGAGACUGGAAUUCCUGGUGUAGCGGUGGAAUGCGCAGAUAUCAGGAGGAACACCGAUGGCGAAGGCAGGUCUCUGGGCUGUUACUGACGCUGAGGAGCGAAAGCAUGGGGAGCAAACAGGAUUAGAUACCCUGGUAGUCCAUGCCGUAAACGUUGGGCACUAGGUGUGGGGGACAUUCCACGUUUUCCGCGCCGUAGCUAACGCAUUAAGUGCCCCGCCUGGGGAGUACGGCCGCAGGGCUAAAACUCAAAGGAAUUGACGGGGGCCCGCACAAGCGGCGGAGCAUGCGGAUUAAUUCGAUGCAACGCGAAGAACCUUACCAAGGCUUGACAUGGACCGGAUCGGCGCAGAGAUGUGUUUUCCCUUCGGGGCUGGUUCACAGGUGGUGCAUGGUUGUCGUCAGCUCGUGUCGUGAGAUGUUGGGUUAAGUCCCGCAACGAGCGCAACCCUCGUUCUAUGUUGCCAGCACGUUAUGGUGGGGACUCAUGGGAGACUGCCGGGGUCAACUCGGAGGAAGGUGGGGAUGACGUCAAAUCAUCAUGCCCCUUAUGUCUUGGGCUUCACGCAUGCUACAAUGGCCGGUACAAUGGGUUGCGAUACUGUGAGGUGGAGCUAAUCCCAAAAAGCCGGUCUCAGUUCGGAUUGGGGUCUGCAACUCGACCCCAUGAAGUCGGAGUCGCUAGUAAUCGCAGAUCAGCAACGCUGCGGUGAAUACGUUCCCGGGCCU
rnacentral:rRNA from 1 species